rnacentral:rRNA from 1 species
CGCGGCCUAUCAGCUUGUUGGUGGGGUAAUGGCCUACCAAGGCGGCGACGGGUAGCCGGCCUGAGAGGGUGUACGGCCACAUUGGGACUGAGAUACGGCCCAGACUCCUACGGGAGGCAGCAGUGGGGAAUAUUGCACAAUGGGCGCAAGCCUGAUGCAGCGACGCCGCGUGGGGGAUGAAGGCCUUCGGGUUGUAAACUCCUUUCGCUAGGGACGAAGCUUUCUGUGACGGUACCUAGAUAAGAAGCACCGGCUAACUACGUGCCAGCAGCCGCGGUAAUACGUAGGGUGCGAGCGUUGUCCGGAAUUACUGGGCGUAAAGGGCUCGUAGGUGGUUUGUCGCGUCGUCUGUGAAAUUCUGGGGCUUAACUCCGGGCGUGCAGGCGAUACGGGCAUAACUUGAGUGCUGUAGGGGUAACUGGAAUUCCUGGUGUAGCGGUGAAAUGCGCAGAUAUCAGGAGGAACACCGAUGGCGAAGGCAGGUUACUGGGCAGUUACUGACGCUGAGGAGCGAAAGCAUGGGUAGCGAACAGGAUUAGAUACCCUGGUAGUCCAUGCCGUAAACGGUGGGCGCUAGGUGUGAGGGUCUUUCUACGACUUUCGUGCCGUAGCUAACGCAUUAAGCGCCCCGCCUGGGGAGUACGG